rnacentral:rRNA from 1 species
GGCUGUCGUCAGCUCGUGCCGUGAGGUGUUGGGUUAAGUCCCGCAACGAGCGCAACCCCUGUCUUCAGUUACUAACGGGUCAAGCCGAGAACUCUGGAGAGACUGCCCAGGAGAACGGGGAGGAAGGUGGGGAUGACGUCAAGUCAGCAUGGCCUUUAUGCCUGGGGCCACACACGUGCUACAAUGGCCGGUACAAAGGGCUGCAAACCCGUGAGGGGGAGCCAAUCCCAAAAAACCGGCCUCAGUUCAGAUCGAGGUCUGCAACUCGACCUCGUGAAGGCGGAAUCGCUAGUAAUCCCGGAUCAGCACGCCGGGGUGAAUACGUUCCCGGGCCUUGUACACACCGCCCGU